AACGAACGCUGGCGGCAUGCCUAACACAUGCAAGUCGAACGAGACCUUCGGGUCUAGUGGCGCACGGGUGCGUAACGCGUGGGAACCUGCCCUUAGGUUCGGAAUAACUCCCCGAAAGGGGUGCUAAUACCGGAUAAUGUCUUCGGCCCAAAGAUUUAUCGCCUUUGGAUGGGCCCGCGUUGGAUUAGCUAGUUGGUAGGGUAAAAGACUACCAAGGCGACGAUCCAUAGCUGGUCUGAGAGGAUGAUCAGCCACACUGGGACUGAGACACGGCCCAGACUCCUACGGGAGGCAGCAGUGGGGAAUAUUGGACAAUGGGCGAAAGCCUGAUCCAGCAAUGCCGCGUGAGUGAUGAAGGCCUUAGGGUUGUAAAGCUCUUUUACCCGGGAUGAUAAUGACAGUACCGGGAGAAUAAGCUCCGGCUAACUCCGUG
rnacentral:rRNA from 1 species